rnacentral:piRNA from 1 species
UAGAAGUUGGAAGUGGAAAGUUG